UGGCUCAGAUGGUAAAGCAUCUGCCUGCAAUGCAGGAGACCCAGGUUUGAUUCCUUG
rnacentral:tRNA from 1 species